rnacentral:rRNA from 1 species
CCUACGGGAGGCAGCAGUGGGGAAUAUUGCACAAUGGGCGGAAGCCUGAUGCAGCGACGCCGCGUGAGGGAUGACGGCCUUCGGGUUGUAAACCUCUUUCAGUAGGGAAGAAGCGUAAGUGACGGUACCUGCAGAAGAAGCGCCGGCUAACUACGUGCCAGCAGCCGCGGUAAUACGUAGGGCGCAAGCGUUAUCCGGAAUUAUUGGGCGUAAAGAGCUCGUAGGCGGUUUGUCGCGUCUGCCGUGAAAGUCCGGGGCUCAACUCCGGAUCUGCGGUGGGUACGGGCAGACUAGAGUGAUGUAGGGGAGACUGGAAUUCCUGGUGUAGCGGUGAAAUGCGCAGAUAUCAGGAGGAACACCGAUGGCGAAGGCAGGUCUCUGGGCAUUAACUGACGCUGAGGAGCGAAAGCAUGGGGAGCGAACAGGAUUAGAUACCCUGGUAGUCCAUGCCGUAAAACGUUGGGCACUAGGUGUGGGGGACGAUUCCACGUUUUCCGCGCCGUAGCUAACGCAUUAAGUGCCCCGCCCUGGGGAGUACGGCCGCAAGGCUAAAAACUACAAAGGAAAUUAGACGGCGNGAGAGNGCGACGACGACACAGGAGGAGG